CUUUGGGUGUGACUGCGUACCUUUUGUAUAAUGGGUCAGCGACUUAUAUUCUGUAGCAAGGUUAACCGAAUAGGGGAGCCGGAGGGAAACCGAGUCUUAACCGGGCGUUAAGUUGCAGGGUAUAGACCCGAAACCCGGUGAUCUAGCCAUGGGCAGGUUGAAGGUUGGGUAACACUAACUGGAGGACCGAACCGACUAAUGUUGAAAAAUUAGCGGAUGACCUGUGGCUGGGGGUGAAAGGCCAAUCAAACCGGGAGAUAGCUGGUUCUCCCCGAAAGCUAUUUAGGUAGCGCCUCGUGAAUUCAUCUCCGGGGGUAGAGCACUGUUUCGGCUAGGGGGCCAUCCCGGCUUACCAACCCGAUGCAAACUGCGAAUACCGGAGAAUGUUAUCACGGGAGACACACGGCGGGUGCUAACGUCCGUCGUGAAGAGGGAAACAACCCAGACCGCCAGCUAAGGUCCCAAAGUCAUGGUUAAGUGGGAAACGAUGUGGGAAGGCCCAGACAGCCAGGAUGUUGGCUUAGAAGCAGCCAUCAUUUAAAGAAAGCGUAAUAGCUCACUGGUCGAGUCGGCCUGCGCGGAAGAUGUAACGGGGCUAAACCAUGCACCGAAGCUGCGGCAGCGACACUGUGUGUUGUUGGGUAGGGGAGCGUUCUGUAAGCCUGCGAAGGUGGCCUGUGAGGGUUGCUGGAGGUAUCAGAAGUGCGAAUGCUGACAUAAGUAACGAUAAAGCGGGUGAAAAGCCCGCUCGCCGGAAGACCAAGGGUUCCUGUCCAACGUUAAUCGGGGCAGGGUGAGUCGACCCCUAAGGCGAGGCCGAAAGGCGUAGUCGAUGGGAAACGGGUUAAUAUUCCCGUACUUGGUGUUACUGCGAAGGGGGGACGGAGAAGGCUAUGUUGGCCGGGCGACGGUUGUCCCGGUUUAAGCGUGUAGGUGUGUGUUCCAGGUAAAUCCGGUUCACUUUAACACUGAGGCGUGACGACGAGGCACUACGGUGCUGAAGCAACAAAUGCCCUGCUUCCAGGAAAAGCCUCUAAGCAUCAGGUAACAUCAAAUCGUACCCCAAACCGACACAGGUGGUCAGGUAGAGAAUACCAAGGCGCUUGAGAGAACUCGGGUGAAGGAACUAGGCAAAAUGGUGCCGUAACUUCGGGAGAAGGCACGCUGACACGUAGGUGAAGUGAUUUACUCAUGGAGCUGAAGUCAGUCGAAGAUACCAGCUGGCUGCAACUGUUUAUUAAAAACACAGCACUGUGCAAACACGAAAGUGGACGUAUACGGUGUGACGCCUGCCCGGUGCCGGAAGGUUAAUUGAUGGGGUCAGCGCAAGCGAAGCUCCUGAUCGAAGCCCCGGUAAACGGCGGCCGUAACUAUAACGGUCCUAAGGUAGCGAAAUUCCUUGUCGGGUAAGUUCCGACCUGCACGAAUGGCGUAAUGAUGGCCAGGCUGUCUCCACCCGAGACUCAGUGAAAUUGAACUCGCUGUGAAGAUGCAGUGUACCCGCGGCAAGACGGAAAGACCCCGUGAACCUUUACUAUAGCUUGACACUGAACAUUGAGCCUUGAUGUGUAGGAUAGGUGGGAGGCUUUGAAGUGUGGACGCCAGUCUGCAUGGAGCCGACCUUGAAAUACCACCCUUUAAUGUUUGAUGUUCUAACGUGGACCCGUUACCCGGGUUGCGGACAGUGUCUGGUGGGUAGUUUGACUGGGGCGGUCUCCUCCUAAAGAGUAACGGAGGAGCACGAAGGUUGGCUAAUCCUGGUCGGACAUCAGGAGGUUAGUGCAAUGGCAUAAGCCAGCUUGACUGCGAGCGUGACGGCGCGAGCAGGUGCGAAAGCAGGUCAUAGUGAUCCGGUGGUUCUGAAUGGAAGGGCCAUCGCUCAACGGAUAAAAGGUACUCCGGGGAUAACAGGCUGAUACCGCCCAAGAGUUCAUAUCGACGGCGGUGUUUGGCACCUCGAUGUCGGCUCAUCACAUCCUGGGGCUGAAGUAGGUCCCAAGGGUAUGGCUGUUCGCCAUUUAAAGUGGUACGCGAGCUGGGUUUAGAACGUCGUGAGACAGUUCGGUCCCUAUCUGCCGUGGGCGCUGGAGAACUGAGGGGGGCUGCUCCUAGUACGAGAGGACCGGAGUGGACGCAUCACUGGUGUUCGGGUUGUCAUGCCAAUGGCACUGCCCGGUAGCUAAAUGCGGAAGAGAUAAGUGCUGAAAGCAUCUAAGCACGAAACUUGCCCCGAG
rnacentral:rRNA from 1 species